rfam:Candidatus Thiomargarita nelsonii contig_1288, whole genome shotgun sequence.
GUCACUGUCCAUAAAUAACUCAUCGGUUUGAGUUAUUUUAAAGUGACCCGCCUAAGUUCUUUGAGAACGACGUUAGGGGCGAAAAUAUAGGCACCUUGGGAUGCUUCGGAAGUCUCAAGCUCUGCGGGGAGUCAUUAAACCGGUCUGAUGGAAAGGCCCGUGUGGCUUUCAGUCAAAACCGUCCUAUAACAUUGGCUAGGAGACCAUUAC